rnacentral:rRNA from 1 species
UACAGAGGUCUCAAGCGUUGUUCGGAUUCAUUGGGCGUAAAGGGUGCGUAGGCGGCUCGGUAAGUCGGGUGUGAAAUCUCGGAGCUUAACUCCGAAACUGCAUUCGAUACUGCUGUGCUUGAGGACUGGAGAGGAGACUGGAAUUUACGGUGUAGCGGUGAAAUGCGUAGAUAUCGUAAGGAAGACCAGUGGCGAAGGCGGGUCUCUGGACAGUUCCUGACGCUGAGGCACGAAGGUCAGGGGAGCAAACGGG